CGGCACGUCUUGAUAUACUUGUACAACAGUUUCGUCCAAGUUUGGUUGGGAACUUCAAGUGUGCCUCAGUGGUCGAGGCAAGUCUGAAUUAAUCUCGCAGUGUGUUCUUUGAGAACCGAAAGGAGAUUUCUUUUAUGAUGCAAGCGUAGAAAUCAUUAAAAGUAAAACUGUAUAAAUACAAAUUUAAGCAUAGAAAUACGUGAAAAUUGGCUUAGGAUAUUGUGAAAAGAAUUGGAAAAUAGAAUUUGAUUCGAAACUUAAUAUCAUAUUGCAUCUUAACCACGAAUGUGUAAGCUGUAUAAAUAUAUAUUCACCGAUGAUACCCAGUUUAUAAAUAAUUUCGAGUUGGCUGAAGAGAGGAUGUUACGCCCGGAACGUGUAUUUUAAACACGUAUCAGCUGAACUAAAUAAAGAUGAUAGAUCGCCAAGCUAUACAGUGUUUAAGAAUCCAAGAAGAGAUACUGUUUCAGAUUAUGAAAGAUUACUUCUAGCUACAACCCGUUAAGGCGUCGCAAGGUGUUUUCUCGAGACCUGAUUAGCGUGUUGGACUAUUUGAAGUUUAAUUAUUUUGUGUAAUUGACAUACAGAAUUGGGCGCCAAUUGUGUGAACAAAUUACAUUGUAAAUUUAAUUGGCAUUUAUAAACUUUUUGAACUUGACUAUAUCUAUAGGUUAAGUUUGUUUAAAAAAAUCGAAAACUUAUUAAACAAUUCGA